rnacentral:rRNA from 1 species
AACGAACGCUGGCGGCAGGCUUAACACAUGCAAGUCGAGCGCCCCGCACGGGGAGCGGCAGACGGGUGAGUAACGCGUGGGAAUCUACCCAUCUCUACGGAAUAACGCAUGGAAACGUGUGCUAAUACCGUAUACGUCCUUCGGGAGAAAGAUUUAUCGGAGAUGGAUGAGCCCGCGUUGGAUUAGCUAGUUGGUGGGGUAAAGGCCUACCAAGGCGACGAUCCAUAGCCGGUCUGAGAGGAUGAGCAGCCACACUGGGACUGAGACACGGCCCAGACUCCUACGGGAGGCAGCAGUGGGGAAUAUUGGACAAUGGGCGCAAGCCUGAUCCAGCCAUGCCGCGUGAGUGAUGAAGGCCCUAGGGUUGUAAAGCUCUUUCACCGGUGAAGAUAAUGACGGUAACCGGAGAAGAAGCCCCGGCUAACUUCGUGCCAGCCGCCGCCGUAAUAC